UACAGAGGUCUCAAGCGUUGUUCGGAUUCAUUGGGCGUAAAGGGUGCGUAGGCGGCGCGGUAAGUCGGGUGUGAAAUCUCGGAGCUUAACUCCGAAACUGCAUUCGAUACUGCCGUGCUUUGAGGACUGGAGAGGAGACUGGAAUUUACGGUGUAGCGGUGAAAUGCGUUGAGAUCGGAAGGAACGCCCGUGGCGAAAAGCGAGGUCCUGGACGCCUACUGAACGCUGAGACGCGAAAAAGCCAG
rnacentral:rRNA from 1 species